rnacentral:rRNA from 1 species
UACGUAGGGUGCAAGCGUUAAUCGGAAUUACUGGGCGUAAAGCGUGCGCAGGCGGUUCGCUAAGACAGAUGUGAAAUGCCCGGGCUUAACCUGGGAACUGCAUUUGUGACUGCAUGGCUAGAGUUUGGCAGAGGGGGGUAGAAUUCCACGUGUAGCAGUGAAAUGCGUAGAUAUGUGGAGGAACACCGAUGGCGAAGGCAGCCCCCUGGGUCAAGACUGACGCUCAUGCACGAAAGCGUGGGGAGCAAACGAGGAUUAGAGUACC